ensembl:lncRNA
GGGGGGUCAGAGGUCGGGUCCGGGGUUGGGGUGGGCAGGCUGAUAAAUAGUGUUUCUGUAGAAAGUUUGACGGCCCUGUAUACUGCCAAAAAAGAAAAAUCAAAAGAAGAUGUUUUAUGUUUGUGAAUAAUCCCCCCAGCCCCCCCCCCCACAGCGGUUGUUGACGUCUUAGAGACGCUUGCCGAAAGACGUUGUCACUCUUGUUUAUCAUUUGCACAGGAGUAGUGUCACUGCUUGUGUGUUGCUGCUGCCUGUUUUUUUCCACUUUUUUUAUUUCCCGUUCCGUUGCAGGCGCCCCAACCCAACUGUAAAUGCCAUUCCCCGAGCCUCACCAAUAACCACCGCAGUGUUGUCAGCCGCUUACGAAAAACAAGAAAAAAAAAACACUAAAAACAUUGGCUUCUAGUCUAUUAUCUGUAACUUAAAGAAGAAAAAUAGAUGAGAAAACGAUACAAAAAAAAAAAAAAAAAAAAAGUUGGGGGAGGCUGGGCGAUGCAAAGUUGUUUCCGUAAAGAACCAUUUACAAAUCACUCGUGCAUCACGCGCUCCUUUGCCCCUGAUCCUUCGUACCUCCUCGUUCUGAAAGCUUUGUCUACCUGCAAACAGUCACAGGCAACAGCUGAAAACCAAAGCCAACUCUAGCAAUGGCCAAUAGCUUAUGAAUAAACAGAAGUCGCCUCCAAACUCCUCUUGGUCGAACUUCUGUGACUUUAAAAACUAGUACAAAGAGAAGCGUUUUUUUGUUUUUUUUUGUUUUUGUUAUCCGUUUUUUGUUUUUUUUGUUUUUGUGGUUCCACAAACUACCUUUGAAUAACCUCUGGGAUUGUUGUAUUUAGCCCUGUACAAAGAUGAUUCAGACAAAGAACAAAGAAGAAAACACAAAAAAAAAAUGGACGAGCUGAUUUUGAUGUGUAAUUUGAUAACUUGUAGAUUGUCCACUUUCUUUUUGUUUUGGGGGGGUGGGGGGGGUGUAGCAGAGGCAGCAUCGUGAGUUUUCACUGCGGGCUUUGCGUGGCAGGCGGUUGGACUGGUAGUGAGCAGCUAUCUGUGUCGCGUGGAUCAUGACCAAAACGAAACAAAAAAAACCUUUGUGUAUUCAAUGGACGUGCAGAAGCAUUGUGUUGUUGUGAAGAGUGGUUUAUUUUCUAUUGUGUUGGAUGAUUUGCUAUUAUUGCUUUAUUCAGUGUUCACGUUUUAUUUUGUUUUUGUUUUGUUGUUUUUUAUCCGCGGACAUCAUCAAGUGUCAAGUUCUUCUCAUCGAGUCCUUUUUUUUUCAAACCUGGUGAAAACAUGUUUCUAAGUGGGUCAAACUAAUGUUUGCGUCUAAAAUGUCUAAAAUGCGUUUUUCCUUCAGUUUCUUUUUUUCUUUCUUUUUCUACUUUUUUUUCCGAGCCGUAUCACACACAAAAAAAAAAAACGGAAACUGAAAAAAACAUCGCUAACCAAACGUGAAAUAUCUAGUGAUGCCAAAUAAGUCACAAUUUCAAGUUGACAUGAAAUACCGUGGCUUGGUUCAAGUUGUAAAAGCAAAUAAUAAUAGCCAUUUAAGAAGGGAAGAUCUCUGAGGAGGAAGUAGGGGGGAUGAAGGGGUGGAGCCUAUUCUAGGUGAUAUCUGCUUUAAGCUGUCAUUGAAAUACUCAGCAUGUGUGUGUGUGUGUGUGUGUGUGUAAUGGCUUUCUCACCUGUACGGAUACAAGAUGGCGUCGUGCUAAAGAGGGACAAUCUGUCGGCGGGCGUCAGAUGUAAAGAGUGUACAGAUUAGCCAUGUGUUGGUAUUUCUAGCGACUCGUCAGAAAACAAAAGUAUGAUGGAGACGUCACCCCCCAGCCCUCCCCCCGGUCAUUGGCCUCACGGCUGAUUAUGUCAUCUUGGACAGUGUUGUUGCUUUAAUGGUCAUUUCCAGUUUUUUCAGUCAAACCAAAGUUACACAAAUUUCUGCCUCCUCCUAUGAAAGGGAUAAAGAAAUACAAGGAGAAGACAAACUAAAACCAACAAAGUCUCAUCUACUCCCAUACAAAACACUCAUGCACAUACUUUCACACUCACAAUCAGACACACACAUCGUAGUCCCUCGCUCAAACAGGUUUUAUAGCCGUGUUAAGUUUAGUCUGCCAGCGAUUCUAGUUCUUGUUUUGGUACAUGCUGCCAAAAAAAGGUCAUUUCGAAUCAUUGUCCCUAAAAAGUAAUGUAUGUGUGUGUGUGUGUGUCUGCUUUACCGACACUUUAACGCAUACUUUGGCAUUCAAAAGACUACAACCAAAAUUCAACAAUUUACUUAUUAUUGGCUGCCAGAGCUGAACACACAGGACACAUGCAGUAGUACCUACAUUACAGACACCAUAGUGAACCCCUCUCCCCACACACACACCUUCACACAGUCCACUUCAUUCCAGUUCCAUGUAACAAACAGCAACAAACAAUGCGUAUCCCGUCAAUGCUUAGGUUGGAGUCAGCAGGAAAUAAAAGAAAAAAAAAACGACUUGAAGACCACGUUCACAAUAAUCGUAUCACACCAAAUAAAAGGACGAUGAGUCUUUCAGACAAAAAAAAAGGGUUCUCCCACUUACCCAAAAAGAAGCUCUCUAAGAGCUUUUCUACCUCUGCACAACAACGGAAAAAAAUCCAGAACAAUUAUGACAGAUUGCACGACUUAUUAGAAUGCCACAAGAGCUGUUUAUUUUUUUUUUCUGUUCGUUCUUUCUUGUUUUUUUGCGUUCCGUUUAUCGUUGAGUCCGUUUUUUUUCUUUAUGUUUUUUUCAUUUGUUUUCACGACGCUUGUCUCGUAGGACGUGGCUUCGAACCGACGUUUACACGACCCUGCGGUGAGAUACGGAGAGAUUUGCAUUGUAAUAGGUUGUCCUCCAACAUUUGUAGAAUGAUAAUGUAUAGAUUACCUUGUAAGGGAAAUAUUGUGUUUUAAAAAUGCAUGUCAAAAAAAAAGAAAAAAGAAUCAUUUGGUGGGACUGGAAAAAAUCGAGAGUUAAAAGAAUAUAAUAAACUAAAGAUGAGAUUGGGAUGACGACGUAAAUGUACGUACAAAUGCACAUGAGUGCAUACCUCAGAAAUACUGUUUUUUUGUUUUUCGGGAAGGAUAUUAAAAACUGUCAACCCCCAGAAUGCAUAUUACCUGUAGAUUUGCAUGGGUUUUGUAUAAAUUAAGUAAAAGAAAAAAAGUCUAAAAUAGUUUGCUUGCACAUAAUACCAGUAAGACCUCCAGAAGUUGGAUCUGCUCCUCCACUAGAACUUUAGGAUUGUCUGGAAGUUUUCUGGGUCUGAUUUUGUCUGUAUUUUGAUAACUGUGCAUACUUAUGUAAAAAACAAAAAAAUAUGUUGGUGGACCCAUCAAAUUUACCAGACUUUUUUCUAAGCGGGAAAAAAAAAUCUCAGUGUUUCUUUUCUGAAUUUUUACUGUUUCUCUCUCUUCUCCUCUCUUCUCUCUCACUCUCUCUAUCUCUUCCUCUCUCUCUCUCAUUGCUUGCUAAGAUUAGCAAAUCUGCUCCCUUCUGCAUCUGCUUUCGUAGCUGUAAGGCCUAAACCUAAUGUGUGUAUUUAUUGCUUGUACCUCCGUGCAUACUUUAUGAAGCAUUAUGUCUGGCAGUUAAGUCAUGUAUCCUUUCUACUGCUUUCCUCUGACGAUGAUGAUAAUGAUGAUGAUGAUGAUGAUGAUGAUGAUAAUAAUCGGGAAUAUGAUCCCCCUAUGUAUACAGUCAAUUGAGAAAACUGUAGCAAAACACAUAUGUUAAUGUAAUUGGUGAAUACGUCUGGGUUGUUUCUGUUUGUUUUGUUUCUUUUUGUUAUUUUACUUUUUCAAUCAAAAUUCGACCAAUUCUUUUGAUACUUCAUUACCGUGUACUGUGUCCAUGCGUUCAAGGUUCUCUGACAUUAGAAAGGGUCUUGGUGGAGAAUUGUGACGGCCAUUAUUAUUUUCUGUAUUCAUGGCAUUUCACUGCUGAAUAAAAUAAAGGACCAAAACUAAGAUUUGAAAA